rnacentral:lncRNA from 1 species
CAGGAAAGGAAAGAAAGAAAGAAAAAAAAGAAAGAAGAGAGACGGAAGGAAAGAGAAAAAUAAGGAAAAAAAAAAUUAAAUGAAAGGAAAGUUUAGGGAAUAAGGAAAAAUAAUUAAAGUUUUUGAAAGGUAACUUUUUUUUAUAAAAUUUAAUUUGUAUAUACAAACAAUAAAGAAAUAUUAUUAUAGAAAUAUUAUAAAUUUAUAAACUUAAAUAUUUAC